rnacentral:rRNA from 1 species
GACGAACGCUGGCGGCGUGCUUAACACAUGCAAGUCGAGCGGUAAGGCCCUUCGGGUACACGAGCGGCGAACGGGUGAGUAACACGUGGGUGACCUGCCCUUCACUCUGGGAUAAGCCUGGGAAACUAGGGUCUAAUACCGGAUAUGACCUGCUCUCGCAUGGGGGUUGGUGGAAAGUCAGUAUUGUAGUGAUGCUGGCGGUGGGGGAUGGGCCCGCGGUCUAUCAGCUU